ACACGUUUAAUUAUAUAACGAAGCAUUUUAAAAUUUCAAUUUUGUGGGCAAACUCAAUCAAAGUUUUAUCAAUUCGUACAGUUGGUAUACAAGAAGAUAGUUGAAAUACACAU